GGAAAGUGAACAUUUGAUUGUGCAGAUACUUGAAGGAAUGUCCAUCAUCUACGUAGAGCUCUCCCGAGGCUGAACCCUUUGACAAGAAGGAACAUACCACGUUUAUGUCUUUUGUGAUGAACAUAUUUACAUAAUAGGCAUACACAAAAAGUAAUGUAUACAAUUUGAUGUUUGAAUAACACCUAAACAAAGAAAUGUGUUAUAUAUGUAUUACACUGCAAUGCAAAGCAGAUCUCAGUCAGCUUCAAAGUGUCUGUUGAACCCUUCUUGGAAAUAUGUCAACAACCGUUUUUUCCGCCACAGUUACUUU